UUGACAAGUCACUGGAUCAAAGUCUAUUCCUAUCUAUAUUGGUAUAAAUCCAAACUCUUGUGCAAUAGAGCAGAAUGUGGCCUCUUUGUCCGAGAGUGAAAGAAUAAAACAGCUCUUUGUCUGAAGAGUUCCUGUUCCGUUUUAUAGCAUUCCAGUAACACUGUGACCCUAAGAACACCCCAAGGCCGGAGGACAAGAGACUCUGUGGUAUCUAGCAGUGAAUCUUAGCUGGCCUGAUCAGCACUUGGACAGAGUGAUAGGGAAAGGAAAGGAAGAAUUCUCUCCCAAUGGACCUGGAACAAUGAGAGGACAGAGGACACUCACCAGCCCUCUUCCUAAUGAGACGGAGGAAGGUUCAACACAUGGUGGUCUGCUGCACUCACAAGUGAAUUGUGGAGAUCCAUAUUGAUUGCCAGAAGAUACAGCUUCUUAUCUCCAAUUGAUAAAGAAUGAAGGAUAGAGGCUUAUUUAAACAAUACUGAUGGACCUCUGCUUUUAUCGUAUCAGAAGAAAUGAAGAAAAAAAGCUUCUGCUGAAAAGUUGCUGCAGAACCAGAGGGCGCUUUGGUGAUAGAACACAGCAGCUGCUCCCAGCCAGCUAGGGAAGAGAGAGAGCCUUCUUCGCAGUGCCUGUCAUGCCAGAAUUCCCCCAGGAGUAAAUAAUGCUCUGCGCCACAUUGCUGGCAAUUGUGAAGACACAGAGGCUGCUUGUGCUUUAUGUGAGCUCUCAGAGCCAAGUGACUUUGGUUUUGGACUUUGCCUGCUGCACCACCGAGUGGAUGAAGUGGCUGCAGCAGCGGCUUCUUCAGCAGCAGACAGAGGAAGAUGAGGAUGACACCAGGUAACUAUUACUACAGUAACUCUUCCUGAAGCAGCUUCACACAGUGCAGUGCCAUUGCUGGGUUCAGAAACAAGUGUCAACUGGUGGGAAAGGAUCAACCUGCAGACCUGAGAUGACUAAAUUUGAGGAUGGCGAAGGCAAUUUUUUUUAGAUCUGUGCUAUGCAAGUCUCAGAGCUGCAGUGACAAACUACCAACAUGCAGUGGCAUGUACCCAUUGAGAAGCAGGUCACCAUUGCCCUCUGGAAGCUGGCCAACCCCGAAUAUUACUAGUCUGUAGCCAAUCGGACAUAGAGAGACUGACAGUUGGGGCCAUUGUCAUGCAUGUGUGUUGCACCGGAUUGCACUGGGUUGUAAAGCUGGGUAAUGCUCAGGAGGUUAUUGGUGGCUUUGUGUUCAUGGGGUUCCCAAACUGUAUUGGAACAAUUGAUGAGAUCCAAGUGCCUAUUGUUUGCCCCUACACCAGGGCUUGGAGCUUAUAAACAGGAAGGGGUUUUUCUCUCUGGUGGUCCAAGGCCUGGUUGGCCACCAUGGCAGGUUUACAAACAAAUUCAGGGAGGUCCACAAUGCUAGGAUCUUUCUGAACUCAGCUGUAUUUACCUUAAUGAAUAAAGGAGACUUUGUCUCCAGGAUCACUAUGGACAUUAAUGUUGUGGAAAUUGUGCCAGUUAUCCUAGGAGACCCAGUUUAUCCUCUGAUUCCCUGAUUAAUGAAGCCAUUCACAGGGCAUUUGGACAGAGGGAAGGAACAGUUUAAGGAUCACCUGAGUAGUUGCAGAAUGGCAGUGAAAUGUGCAUUUGGUCACCUGAAAGGCAGGUGGGGCUGUUUAUGGACUAGGUUGUGAGCUACAUAAAAAGAGCUCACCUAAGAUUAUAGCUGCAUGUUCUAUUUUGCACAACAUUUUGUGAGAGUAACAGAGAAAGCUUUAACGAAGGGUGGGAUGCAGAGACUUGCUUGGUUUGAGCAGCCAGUAAGGUGUCUACUAGAAAAUGGAACCAGCCAGGCCAAUACUGUCAGGAAUGCCUAUUGCUCUUAUUUUGAGUCUGAGGCCUGAAAAUGUUCAGCCGAACAUCCAGCUGCUAUCCCAGGUGGUGGACGCAGGGGAUAGAUUGUGAACACUGCAGUCUCUUUUGUAAAAACCUGUGACAUGGAAAAUUCAUAGUACAUUCUGUGUACCAGAAUGUGUACCACAUUGCAGAUUUUUUUUAUGAAUUAAUUGUAAUGGGUUAUUAAACAACAAUUUCUUAUAUAACAGCUAGCAAUAAACCUUUAAUUAAAACAAAAAUGAAACAGUUUUAAAGUGAAACAGUGCAGUGGAGGGCAGCACACAACAAGGGGGGGGACUCCAGGUCACAGGUCAUUAUACGUCUUGCCCUCUGUCUCUUCUUGUUCAUCUGUCUUUUGGUGCUGAGUCUCAGGGCUCAAAAUUAUCAGGGGCAUUAGAUGACUCAAAAGAGCUGGGGUCCCACAUGCAAUUAUUCUUGCUGCCCUGAGCUGGGGCCCUGGCCUCUGGGAACAUGGCUGUGGGAGCACAGUGGGAAACAUAUGCUGGUGUUCCCAGUACCCUGUAUUGUCCAGGAGCUGCAGAACAUGGCUAGGUCCUGGCUGAGGGCACUAGAUUGUCAGCAUGCCCACAAACAAUAUGCACUUCAGCAGAGCGUUCUGCUUCUGUAUUGCCUGCAGGAGUUGCCUCUGAAUCAUCUCCCGGUCUGUCUCUAGUGUUUUUUGCCAUGGCGACGCUGUCCCUGGCCACUUCAGUGUUUUCUCUGGGUAGCUUCCUGUCUUUCUCCAUCUCAGACUUCAAAAACAACCUCCAGCUCUCUGUAGUUUUCCAUAGUUUCUGAGGAGUCUGCAAUGAGUUCUGAGAACAUUUCAUCCUGAGCUCUCUAUUUCUUCCCCCUCAAGUUAGUCCACCACACAGCUAUUGACAAGGCCCUGUCCUUGAUGGUCUGGCCACUAUGGGUGCCAUGACCGGAGGAGUAGGGGAAAAAAACAAACAGUUCUUGCUUCUAUUCCAAAGAGGCUCUGAUAGCAUUUUUAACAUGUAUUUCUGAUUUCCCCUUCCUGAGAUUCUUCUCAGUCUUGGGGGAGACCUCAGAGAUGGUAAGUUGUGUGUGCAUGUGGAGGUCUAGAUUAGGGUUGCCAACCCUCCAGGAUUGUUCUGGAGUCCCCAGAAAUUAAAGAUUGAUCUUUAAUUAAAGAUUAAAUUAAAUCUCCGGGAAUUUAUUUAACCAAAGUUGGCAACCCUAGUCUAGACUGGGAUUUCAAGGGUGUGCAGUAUAAGCUGUUUGAAUGUGCAGUUGUGCUUUGGAGGCAGUGGAGUAUUGGGAAUUAUGUUCCUGGCUUGGCUUUUCAGUUUAGGCUGUGCCUUGGAGGAGCUUGUGUGGCGUUGGAGAGCUUAGCAGGG